GCUGAAUAAGACAAUUGUACUUGACAUGACACUUAAACUCAUUCAAAGACACACUGAAUUACAUCACCACAAUCUAAUUUUAGAACAUUUUCAAUGCCCCCCAAAGAAACUCUCUGCAGGCCUGGGCAACAUAGUGAGACCCUGCCUCUAGAAAAAUUUUUUUGAUUAGCUGGGUGUGGUGGCACUCACCUGGGAGGCUGAGGUGGGAGGAUCCCAGGAGUUAGAGGCUGCAGUGAGCCAUGAUCAUGCCACUACACUUCAGCCUGGGCAACAGAGCAAGACCCUGUCUCUAUUGAAAAAAGUGGUGGGAAGUGGGGGAGAAACCCUGUGCUACAGCAGUCUUCCUGAUUCCUGCUUACCCAUCUCCUACUCCAUCCCCAGACAAUCUCUCUAUGGAUUGGCCUAUUCUGACAUUUCACAUCAGUCAUCUGUUGCUUAAUGACAGACACACAUUUGGAGAAAUGUGUCAUUAGGCAAUUUUCUUCAUGUGUACACAUCAAAGAGUGUCCUUACACAAACCUAAAUGGGACAACCUACUGCAGACCUAGGCUGUAUGACAGAACCUAUUGCUCCUCGGCUACAAACCUGUACAGCAUGCAACUCUACUCAACACUGUAAGAAACUGUAACACAGUGAAAAUAUCUUCUCACUCAAAGUCAAAAACUCCUGUCUUCUUUGAAUGAGUUUUAUACUCCUGGCCCGUAUGUUGAGGACUAUGAUUCGUUUGUGUUUUAUUUUUGUGGAUGGUGUAACAGCAGGUCCAAGUUCUUCAGAUGUCCACGUGUUCUGGUACUGUUUAUUGAAAAGACCAGUUGUAAUGGUUGGAAU
rnacentral:lncRNA from 1 species